UACAUGGGGUGCAAACGUUGCUCGGAAUUAUUGGGCGUAAAGCGCGCGUAGGCGGUUACUUAAGUCGGAUGUGAAAGCCCUCGGCUUAACUGAGGAAGUGCACCCGAAACUGAGUAGCUAGAGUACGAAAGAGGGUCGCGGAAUUCCCGGUGUAGAGGUGAAAUUCGUAGAUAUCUGGAGGAAUACCGGUGGCGAAGGCGGCAUCCUGGACCGACAUUGACGCUGAACGGCGAAAGCUAGGGGAGCAAACGGG
rnacentral:rRNA from 1 species